AUUGAACGCUGGCGGCAGGCCUAACACAUGCAAGUCGAGCGGUGUGGCGGACGGGUGGGUAAUGCCUAGGAAUCUGCCUGGUAGUGGGGGAUAACGUCCGGAAACGGGCGCUAAUACCGCAUACUACCAGAUGAGCCUAGGUCGGGUUAGCUAGUUGGUGGGGUAAAUGCCUACCACGGCGAAGAACCGUAACUGGUCUGAGAGGAUGAUCAGUCAAACGUGAGCUGAGACAAGGUGCAGACGCGUAUGGUAGGGACUAGGGGGGAAGAGUGGUGAGUGGGUGAAGGCCAGCAGAAGGCAUGGCGCGUCGGUGAACAAGUUCAUCGGUUAUUAAAGCAUAUUAAGUUGUGCGGCGUUAGCAUCAUAUUAAGCACCGGCUAACGGCGUGCCAGCAGCCGCGGUAAUAC
rnacentral:rRNA from 1 species